AACGUAGGUGGCGAGCGUUAUCCGGAUUUACUGGGCGUAAAGGGUGUGCAGGCGGAGACUCAAGUGGUGUAUGAAAUCGCCCGGCUCAACCGGGUGGGGUUAUGCCAGACUGGGUUUCUAGAGACCGAGAGAGGGGCGUGGAAUUCCGGGUGUAGUGGUGAAAUGCGUAGAGAUCCGGAGGAACCCCAGAGGCGAAGGCGGCGCCCUAGCUCGGUUCUGACGCUCAGACACGAAAGCAUGGGGAGCGAACGGG
rnacentral:rRNA from 1 species